CAUGAUUUUCAUUUUGAAGUUUCUUAAAAGUAUCAGUAUAUGAUUUUCAUUUUGAAGUUUUUUAAAAGUAUCAGUAUAUGAAUGAUUUUCAUUUUGAAGUUUCUAAAUGACUUAGUAAUGUGUAAUUGAUGCUCCAAAAUGUCCGAGAGGUUUAUGACUAAUCAAUUGCUUCUCGAAGUGCUGAUUUUCAUUUCAUCCUUAUUUUAUGAUCUUUAUUCAUUUUCAAGUUGCAAAUAGUGUCUGAUUGUUGUUAAUUACACUAAUAUGUUUUAUUUGUUGUUUUCUAUAUUUCGAUUGAACUUUCAAGCUUCUUGGAUUAUUCGUUGAUAUCAAAUGUGGUUGUUACUGCACCUGUCCUGUAUUGUAAUAAGCGUUGGCUAUUUCUAAAACAAUAUUCCAGAGAAUAAUUUUGCAUAUUUAAUGCUAUUAUUAGAUUGAAAGCAAGCUGAAAUAUUUAGAAGUAAUUUAUGCUUACUUUGAUAGCUCAAUUUUGUAUCAGGCACGUAAAGUGUUAAUAAAUACUGGUCCAGCAAUUGGCGCAGUGGUAGCUUGGCUUGUAUUAUUGCUUGUUGUUAUAUUGUGUUGGUAUAUAUUUGGAGAAGAGUUAUUUUAUCUCUGAAUGCACCUAGAUGCCAGUAAAUGAUGUACUUGCUUUCCUGGAUGGACUUUCUUGUUAAACUUGAAUUUCCUUCAUUCAAAUCCUUUAUUAAUGUUAAGGUUGAGAAUAUUCCGUAUCUAUGCCUGCAGAUAAUAUCCUUGUUAUUGCAUUUAGUUUUCUUAGCAACUGAUGUUGGCCACUCAUUGAUUAUUGCUCUUAGUGGGUAAGACAGAUGGUUAUAACUCUCACUGUUUUUGGCAGGAUGGAGGUUGAAAUGGAAGAUGUAGUUAAAGAGAAAAUUAUGAAUAUAGACAGUUGUGACAAGAAAAAUCCACUUGCAGUUGUGGAAUAAAUUGAUGAUAUAAAUGAUCUCUAUAGGAAAACUUAGAGAUAAAUCUCAUGGGACAAGUACCGGCUAUUGUUUUUGGAGAUUUUAAGCUAUUUGAGAGUCAUGCAAUUUAUAUCUACCUCGCCUCUGUAUUUGGAGUUGCAGAUCACUGGUAUCCAAGUGAUCUUCAACCACAUUGGAACGCAUUGAAAUGAAGCACUGUUUACAAAUACAAACUGAUUGCAGGCCUCCAUUUUCACACCAGAAACAAUAUAAGGCUCAGUAAGUAAAAACCAACUUAAUCAGGAAAGCACAAAGAUAAAUUGUUGUUUUUGGAAUUUUGAGUCGUUUGUUUAUGAUUCGAAGAAAUCGUAUGAGCUUCGCCCCAAAAACUCAAAUUCGAUUUCUAUAAUUAAAAAGUUAAAGACGCAAAACCCGUUUUAUAGAGUAAUGGCGCCUGUGGAUGCUUUUCGGACAUUUGAUGGCACUUUAGAAUUACAAAAGUUUAUGAUUUGGGCGACUUUGUGGGUCAUUUGCUGUUUGUUUAAUAUGAGAUCUAGCUAUUCUAUUUGUGGCAACUAUCAACUACAAUGUGAUUCUAUGAUGAGUUCCCAUGUUAAGUAAGAUUGUAAGUUUCUCGUCUAUAGCUCUAUUUUUGCAAUUUUGCUACUCUACUUUUGUUGAAUUUUGUGUUAUAUCCAAUUACUGGUUUAUUAAUUCUUAUCAAUACUAAUUUCUGGUGCACUCCAAAUUACAGGAGCUCCAAAACAGUGGAAGUGAUGCUUUUUCCACUGUUAUAGGUGAGAGGCCUCCCGGUCGUGCACUUUUUUUUAUUGAAGAGGGGUUACGAGAAGCAAUUUGAAGAACAUAGAAGGAAGCAGUUCUUCAAUAAUUUUGAUGGAAUAUUUUCCGUUUUUUAAUUUUGGUGAAUAUUUUUUGUUUGUGAUGUAAUGGAUGAAAUAUUUUUGUGAUGUAAUAGAUGAAUGGAGUAUUUUCGUGAUGUAAUGGAUGGAAUAUUUUCCGAUUUUGAAUUUAAUAAAUAUUUUCCGUUUUUUAAUGUUA